CCUACGGGAGGCAGCAGUGAGGAAUAUUGGUCAAUGGCCGGAAGGCUGAACCAGCCAUGCCGCGUGAAGGUCAGUGCCCUAUGGGCGUUAAACUUCUUUUGUGCGGGAGCAAUAAUGGUCACGUGUGGCCAGACGAGAGUACCGUACGAAUAAGCAUCGGCUAACUCCGUGCCAGCAGCCGCGGUAAUACGGGGGAUGCAAGCGUUAUCCGGAUUUAUUGGGUUUAAAGGGUGCGUAGGCUGUGAGGUAAGUCAGCGGUGAAAUGCCCCCGCUCAACGGGGUGAAGUGCCAUUGAUACUGCCUGGCUGGAAUGCGGAGGCCGUGGGAGGAAUGUGUGGUGUAGCGGUGAAAUGCAUAGAUAUCACACAGAACACCGAUUGCGAAGGCAUCUCACGAAUCCGCGAUUGACGCUGAUGCACGAAAGCGUGGGUAUCAAACAGGAUUAGAUACCCGAGUAGUC
rnacentral:rRNA from 1 species